GACGAACGCUGGCGGCGUGCCUAAUACAUGCAAGUUGAGCGAUGAAGAUUGGUGCUUGCACCAAUUUGAAGAGCAGCGAACGGGUGAGUAACGCGUGGGGAAUCUGCCUUUGAGCGGGGGACAACAUUUGGAAACGAAUGCUAAUACCGCAUAACAACUUUAAACAUAAGUUUUAAGUUUGAAAGAUGCAAUUGCAUCACUCAAAGAUGAUCCCGCGUUGUAUUAACUAGUUGGUGAGGUAAAGGCUCACCAAGGCGAUGAUACAUAGCCGACCUGAGAGGGUGAUCGGCCACAUUGGGACUGAGACACGGCCCAAACUCCUACGGGAGGCAGCAGUAGGGAAUCUUCGGCAAUGGACGAAAGUCUGACCGAGCAACGCCGCGUGAGUGAAGAAGGUUUUCGGAUCGUAAAACUCUGUUGGUAGAGAAGAACGUUGGUGAGAGUGGAAAGCUCAUCAAGUGACGGUAACUACCCAGAAAGGGACGGCUAACUACGUG
rnacentral:rRNA from 1 species